GUAGCCUGGGCAUAUCCAAGCAGAGCAAAGAAGCAUUCAAAUGCCCUAUGUCCAGCAGUGUUUAAAGGCCUUUUGGAGAAAUUGGUGCCUUCUUCCUGGGAGAUGCCCUGAGUCUCUCUUCUUAGGUUUGAACCUCAUGGGAUCCCUUCUUGAUCAGCAGAGAGUUAUUCUGGAUGAAAAACAGCUUGCCAAGGGACAGCUGAAUAAUGGUCUCCAGUUUCAUAGGCUUCCUUUUGGACUGCGAUGCUCAGGCAGUUAAAGGGUCUUUGCACCCGCCCUAUCACAAAUGGAACUGGAAUACCUCCCCCAUGAGGAACUUUCCACCCCUCCAUCUUCUGUGAUGUAUCAUACAAGCUGCUUUAACUGAAUAAACUGGACAAGAAAUAUGCUACCACCAGAAUCUCUCCUUUAUCUCAGCCCCCUGUAUGAGCUGAGAGGUCAGUGCUGUAGGAUUUGGAUACCUGAACAACGAAGCAGUAGAUUUACACUUUUUGGAAUAAGCUGCUCCUUUAGGUGAUGCUUCUUGGAUGAAACUGGAGCUGCCACCAUUCUUAUACCA